AACUGUGCUAAGGUAGCAUAAUCAUUUGUCUUUUAAUUGAAGGCUAGUAUGAACGGUUGGACGAGACAUAAACUUUCUUUAACUUAAUUAAUGAACUUAAUUUUUUAGUUAAAAAGCUAAAAUUUGUUUGAGGGACGAGAAGACCCUAUAGAUCUUUAUAUCUGUAAUUAUCAUAUAAUUUAGUGAAUUAAUUAUUAUUAUAAUUACCCAUAUUUGGUUGGGGUGACUAUAAAAUUUAACAAACUUUUAUUUUUAUUUUUCAUGAAUUAGUGUUUUGUUGAUCCAAGAUUAUUGAUUAAAAGAUUAAGUUACCUUAGGGAUAACAGCGUAAUUUCUUUGGAGAGUUCUUAUCGAUAAAGAAGUUUGCGACCUCGAUGUUGGAUUAAAAUUAGUUUUAGGUGUAGAAGCUUAAAAACUAGGUCUGUUCGACCUUUAAUUUUUUACA
rnacentral:rRNA from 1 species